AGUGAACGCUGGCGGCAGGCCUAACACAUGCAAGUCGAGCGGCAGCACGGCAAUAGCAAUAUUGUGGGUGGCGAGCGGCGGACGGGUGAGGAAUGCAUCGGGAUCUACCCUGUCGUGGGGGACAACGUAGGGAAACUUACGCUAAUACCGCAUGAUCUGGAGACAGCAAAGCCGGGGACCCGCGAGGGCCUGGCGCGAUGGGAUGAGCCGAUGUCCGAUUAGCUAGUUGGCGGGGUAAAGGCCCACCAAGGCGACGAUCGGUAGCUGGUCUGAGAGGACGACCAGCCACACUGGAACUGAGACACGGUCCAGACUCCUACGGGAGGCAGCAGUGGGGAAUAUUGGACAAUGGGGGCAACCCUGAUCCAGCCAUGCCGCGUGGGUGAAGAAGGCCU
rnacentral:rRNA from 1 species